UGUUGCGCUGGCAACGGGAGGUAAAGAAGACGCCGCAUUCGAAAACAGUGUUUGACCGGCCACACUCAAAGAAUCUUCCUCAUGGGCCAGGAGACUGUUUCUUGGCUGCUCCUUGAAGAGAGAAGACCAGAAACGGGUGUCGAAUAAACGUGUGGACGGAGGUGGCCACCAUGUUCACCCCGCCAGCGCAUCCAAGAUCUCCCCUCCUCAUCUCUUCUCUGGAACUCCUCUCUGAUAGUGAAGAUAAGUAACAAACUGUUUUAUGGCUCUUUUCGUGUCUCAUGAUUCAUGAUGUGAGUGGGGAAGGGAUGUGUAGUUCAAUGUAGCUGUUGCUCUAAGUAAAAAAAACAAUUCAAAACCCUUACAGUAUAAAUCAGUUUAAAUUAAAUUGGGUAGAAAAUGCAAACAGCGGUGGCACACGGUGACCACCAAAAGAGUUAGCAAAGCAUUCAUUGUACACAUGCCUAAUGUCUGUUCAGGCCCAAGAGAUGAAAUGGUUUCCACAAACACUGCCUCUGCGUCAGACAUGAGAAGCUUUGUCACACACCAUCCUCUCUGUUUGUACACAUGCGGAUCAUGUGUGUGUUUGGAUGUGUGUUCAGGCGAGUGCGGCUCUGGGACUCGCUGGCCUGGCUGUAUUAUUGUUGGGAGGCCUGCUCCUUCCCUCUGGAGGGCCUCAUUGAAGAGCUGGCUCUCUGCGUCUCCCCCUCUCAGCUCCGGGAGUCCGGCCAAGCCCGUCCGAGCGGGCUCGCUGCCUGCAGCAGAACGCAACGUGCUGGAGCCACGGCCUGUAUACACACACACACACACACACACACACACACACACACACACACACACACACACACACACACACACUCACACUCACACAAACAUCCCCGCACCCGCAGCACUAUGCUCUACACACAGACGACUAGACUGCUUAUUGGCAGUUUCUCUCUGCUGUUCAGCAAGUGGCUCCCACCCCCUCUGUGAAAACAGACACUCCGUUAGUGUUGUGGCUGCUAUGAUGUAGCAUAAGCUGACAACACAGCGCUCCAGCGACACUGGAUAACUAGAAAAGCACCUCCAUAAGUCCCUGUAUAAAUAUUAUUUCUAAUUUGAACUGAUCAACCUCUGGGAAAACCCAGCAGAUCAACCUCCACAGCAGUCCAGCAGAUGUGAGCAGGGUGGAGGGUUCAGGGAGGGGUAGCGGUCCACUUUUAGCUUGGACCGCUUAAUCGGACGGUUUGUGCUGUGGGUGUGUGAGGGUAUGCUGAACUUGGCGAUGAUGACCUCAAAUUGGCCCUAAUCGAGCAGACUCAUUAGUGGCUGGCUCUGUUUAAAGUUUCUUUAGCCCCUUUAUUUUACAGUAAUCGGCCCAAAGCGAAGGCAAGACAGAGAGGACAAUGUAGAGGGAGGGAGAAUGGAGAAUAAAAGACAAACAGAGAAUAGGAGAUCAGAAAGAGAGAGGCUAGAAAAAAGAAAAACAAAGGAAAGAGAUUGAAAAAGAGGACGACAUGAGGGAGCAACAAAGUCGAAAGCCUGCUUCCUGGCAGCCUCAGCUGCCUGCACAUCUGUGUGCGAAGGGUCUGAGCAGACCCCCACGUGUUUGCUCAGGUCGCCUGAUUGCCUUUCCUUCCUCCUCUUCUCCCACUAAAGACCCGCUGUCCUUCCUCUCACUCCAAUCACUGCAGCCAAGAGAGAGGGCUCCUGCAGCAGACACUCUCCCACUGAACUGCACUCAUGACUCAGUUUCUGUCACAUUCAAAUUAUUGAAACUCAUCUGUUAAGACUUUUACAUUUAAAAUAAAAGAGAGACCUUUCAUGCCAUGGGUUAUAUUGGUUCUAAUUUGGUGAAUCGGGUUUGUGUUUGUUUUUUUCCCAUGAGUGUGUGUAUGAGCAUGUGGGUGUGUGCAUAUGUAUGACUGUGUGUGACUUCGGAGCCCUUCGCUGGAGUCUGCUGUCUGGGUACAAUGGUCCAGCCCGGGGCCUCAGCUCCACAAAGAGGCCUUCUCUUAACAACACGCCAUCACAGAUGGAGGAGGAGCCUGACCAAAGCAUUACCACGCUCAAGGGAUCACAGAGCUUCCCUUGAUGCAUCUGAUAUCCCUUAUGAUUUUGAUAAUAAAGCACUUUUCA